CAGAAUCAGCCCAGAGCCAGUCCACAUCCUCAGGCUCAACUGUGAGUGAUGAAUCAGGUCCAUCUCCAUCUUCUACAGUGCUCUCUCACACACCUCCAUCCUCUGUGCCCACUGUCCCCUCCAUGUCUAAAACCACAGCUGAUUUAUCUACAACUUCCACCACAACGUCCCCUUCACACCAUGGACCAUCAUCGCUCCGCCAGUUGACCCAGCUGAGUGGCCUUCUUUCCUCUCAGAUUCAGACAGGACUGAGCAGGUGAUCAGAGGACCACUGUCUAUUAAGGAAAACUUUUCAUUCCCCAAACGGCAUGAUGGCCGAA